UGCCCUCUCUCCUUGCUCAGUGCUGUGCAAAAAUAAAACUCUCCUACUUUCUUCCAUCACACCCGGUGUCAGAGAUUGGCUUGCUGCGCAACGGGUGAGCGAACUCACUUCAGGUUCGGUAACAAUUUGGCAACCCAGAUGGGACAAUGUCCCAGGUGGACAUCUCGCCUGUGGCACACCGGCCUCUGGCUAAAGGCCUCUCUUGGAAGCUGUCCUGCAGCUGCCUGAGCCCCUUGUCUCAGGGACAGCCCCAAGUGACUGGCUGCUAGCCAGAGGUCGUUGGCCCACAGCGCUUUUGCUUUGGUGGUGGAAGAAAAUAGGUUUAGGACUUGGGAAGACGUCUCUUGUAAGUAGCUGGUAGUUUUUGUUUUUGUCUUUGUGUUAACCUUUUCCAACAGGACCAGCUGGAAAUAAUGGGUACCUUGGCAGCCCUCUGGGCUCAUUUGUUUUGAAGUUGCUGCAACGCCCCAGCCAAAUUUUGGACACAAUUGGAAACACUGGUUAUAUUACCAAGGCUUUGACUGGAACAUCAUGUUUGAAAAAACAUAUGGGCUUGGAUAUAAUAAAACAGCUUUUGAGGAAUGAAGGUUGACAUUCUGGAAUAAAGCCACUUGGAAAUAUUGGCCUGGUACUGUGUUUAUGGGUUCUGUAACCUGAAAAACUUCUUAUUAAAUACCUGGUUACUUAGGUACAUGAUACAGGCCUAACUUCAGGAGCCCACCAGCAUUACUGCUUUAUUAAAAGACUGGUUCAAUGAGAUGAAACGACUUACACCCCAUUUCAGCAGGAAGUAGCUAGAUUCGUCGCCGCCCCAAAUCCCUCAAGAUUGAAGGAUGGACAUAAAAUAGGGGGGAGUUGAUACCAACCCUGCUAUCAGUUUCCCCACAUUAAACCCAGCAUAUAUAGGGUUAAAACCAAAACACGCAUUCCCUGCUUACUCUCUGGCUUCCUGGCUCCAAAAUCCACUAUCCUCCAUGGAGACAGACACCGUCAAGGAC